GACGAACGCUGGCAGCGUGCUUAACACAUGCAAGUCGAACGGUGAAGGGACUGGUUUUGCUGGUCCUGGAUGAGUGGCGAACGGGUGAGUAACACGUGAGUAACCUGCCCCCUUCUUCUGGAUAACCGCAUGAAAGUGUGGCUAAUACGGGAUAUUCUGGGUCUGUCGCAUGGUGGGCCUGGGAAAGAUUGCGCCUUUUUUGGUGUUUUUGGUGGGGGAUGGGCUCGCGGCCUAUCAGCUUGUUGGUGGGGUGAUGGCCUACCAAGGCGGUGACGGGUAGCCGGCCUGAGAGGGUGGACGGUCACACUGGGACUGAGACACGGCCCAGACUCCUACGGGAGGCAGCAGUGGGGAAUAUUGCACAAUGGGCGCAAGCCUGAUGCAGCGACGCCGCGUGAGGGAUGGAGGCCUUCGGGUUGUGAACCUCUUUCGCCAGUGAAGCAGGCCUGCCUCUUUUUGUGGGUGGGUUGACGGUAGCUGGAUAAGAAGCGCCGGCUAACUACGUG
rnacentral:rRNA from 1 species